UCUACCUUUUGUAUGUGUAUUACAUAGAAUUGUAGUUUAUCACGUCUUGAUUUAUAGUCAUUGUUCUCCUUACAACAAUUAAAUAGUUUUUAUAGUACUUCAAGAGGUGUGAAAAGACUUCCAUUUUUUGUUUACAAUUAUUAGAUGUCUCUUAAUUAAAUACAACAAUGUGUUGCCCCUUUAACAUCUUUUGUAAAGAGGUCGUGUAAAAUAUACAAAUUAAAAUAAUUCAUAUUUUUUAACAAAUUUUCUUUAGUUUAAAAGCUUUCAUGAUAGAAAACGGAAAAUCACAAAUUAAAAAUAAUAUUGUUUGACACCCUAAAACCCUUAGAUAUAAUUGAAGGUGCAUGAAGAAACACAACACAGUACGAAGGUGGAACUAUAGGGGGUUUGAAUUGUGUUGAUCGACUUUAAAAUCUUUUCGUUCUUUCUUUAUAACAAAUAAGAAUUAAAACAAAAGUUACUCAAAACCAAAAAUACAACUAAAAUUGAACAAUCUUAGUGGAAAAUAGUAAAUUUUAAUUCAAUACCCCCCACCAUAUUGGCUGCAUAAAGUGCCUAUACAACUUCUCAGCAACAAUUUUCAAAAGUAUCUGAAUUGAGAGAGGAAAAAGGGUAGAUUAGAUUACCCUACCAAAUUGGUGUGAACCGUUAUCUAUUAUACCUCUUUUCCUAAUUGUUUUACUUAAUUGAUUUAUGCUUUAACUUUAUUUGAAUCUUUUGAUAAAGAAAACAGAAUGUUUUUUAUUCGGUUAAGAAAGAAAAUAUUUUAAAAUCGUAGUGAAAGAACAUAAUUUUUUUUUUGUUUUAAGAAAGAACCUAAUUUUUUUAUAAAGAAUGUAUUAAUCUGAUUUAAUGAUUUUCCCUUUUUUAUCAUGAAAGGUUAUAGGAUAAUGAAAAAUUAUUAAAAAAACAAAUAAAAAUGAAUUAUCUUGAUUUGUAAAUUUUUAUAUGACCUUACUAAAGGUGCUAAAGAGGAAAAUUAACACAUUAUUAUACGUAAGAGACAUAAUUAUAAAAAAUUUAGGAGGGCUUUUUACAACUCUAAAAGUAGUAAAAACUAUUUAAUUGGUGUAAAAUUCCAUCUAAUGCAUGCAAAGGGUAGAAACAUGGAUAAAAUUUUCAAGUUUGUUUAUGUUACAAUAAUCCUUAUCUUUAUUUCUAGUUUCAACACAAAUUUGUAAGCCCUUUGUUUUUAUCUCAUUGUCAAAAAAAAUAAAAUUUGUCAAGUAAUCUAAUAGCUAAAAAUUUCGUCCUUAAGAUAAAUAAGUGAGAUGACAUGAGUUCGAAUCCAGCCCCUUAUAUAUAAUGCAAUAUUAUAUUAAUUGAGUUAAGUUUACGGAACAAUUUUUUCUUUAUUUCGCACAAAAUAUUUUAUUACAUUGCCUCAUAGAAUGAGUUGUCUACAAGAUUAUUGUCAUUGUGUUAUGUGUAUAAUUACAAAGCUGCAUAGAUUAUGUGUGUUUGGCCUAAAAGAAUACACAAAUAUGGAAUAGCACGGCAUAUUAAUAGGAAAAACAAUCAUAAUCUAUGAAGCUUUGUAAUUAUACAAUCACAAUUGCCUUGUUAGAAGCAAUGUAAGAAGUGGAUAUACAACCUACAUAUAUAUUGGUGUAUCAGAAUAUAGUUCCAUUAUUUGUAACAUUAAAAACAUGUAUUUCCAUUCAAGCUUUGUGUUUGAGUUUAUAAAGUAACAAGCGAAUAUGGUUGCUUAUACGCUUGCUAAAGCGGUUAUAUCUUGUCUAGUUGCUAAUACGCUUGCUUAAUGAAAUGCUUUGAGUGUUUGUUUGUCAAACAAAAGUACCUACAGAGUUGUAAAGAGAUUUCAAAAAAAAAUUAUGAUUAUU
rnacentral:lncRNA from 1 species